rnacentral:lncRNA from 1 species
UGUUCAUGCCCAUCAAACAUAAACCUAGACUCGGCAACAAAAACAAACAUUCCUGUUCAAAAAUGGGCAAAGAGGCCAGGGAUGGUGGCUCAUGUCUGUAAUUCUAGAGCUUUGGGAAGCUGAGGCAGGAGGAUCACUUGAGGCCAGGAGUUCAAGACCAGCCUGGGCAACAUAGUGAGACCCCAACUCAACUAUAUUAAAAAAAAAAAAAAAGAAGGCAAAAGACUCAAAUAGACAUUUCGCCAAAGAAGAUAUACAGAUGGCCAAUUAACACAUGAAAAGAUGUCCAACUUCCUAUCCAUUAGGCUAGCUAUUGUCAAAACAUUUUUUUGUUGUUGUUUUUGGAGGAGGAGUCUCUAUUGUCCAGGCUGGAGUACAGUGGCAUGAUCUCAGCUCACUGCAACCUCUGCCUCCCGGGUUCAAGCCAUUCUCCUGCCUCAGCCUCCCAAGUAGCUGGGAUCACAGGCAUGCACCACCACAUCCGGCUAAUUUUUGUAUUUUUAGUAGAGACGAGGUUUCACCAUGUUGCCCAGGCUGGUCUCGAACUCCUGACCUCAGGUGAUCUACCCACCUCAGCCUCCCAAAGUGUUGGGAUUACAGGUGUAAGCCACCACUCCUGGCCUAAAACAUUUUUUUAAAUGAGAAGAUAACAAGUAUUAGUGAGGAUACAGAGAAAUUAGAACCCCUGUACAUUGCUUAUGGGAAUGUAAAAUGGUGCAGCCACUGUGUAAAAUAGU